UCCCAGGUGGGCGCGGCUCGGGCUCGCAAGUUGACUGAGAAUUCUGUGUCUCUGGGACCCGCUUUCCUGCCCUGAGGCCAGGUGACUGCGAGGACCACCCUGGAGCAAAUCAGCCUUGUCAAGAGGGACAUCGCUAGCCAUGCCCAUCUGACCCCUGAAGAAUCCUGGUCCUUCAGAAUGAGGCAGGGGACCCACCAGCUCGCACAGCACCCACCCCUGCUCUUGGCUUCAGAGCAGCCCUUUGACCUGGAUUGCACGAAGGCUGGCACCCCCAGCGGCCACGACCCCCAUGGCCUCCCUUCCACUCAUGCCUGCUGCCCACCGGCCUGGUUCAGCAUCCAGGCGCCUUAUCAACCAACUUUCCGGGUAAGUAAACCCAGGCCCCCCAGGUGUGUCGCCUGGUUUUCCCAGGGCUAGGGGCCUGCUGGGAGGGCGCGAGCGAACUCAGGACUCCAGUCUGGUCCCCGAGGGGCUCCCCUCCUCUGCCCGGGUCUGGAAAGGAACCGUCCGGUGUGGGUUGGUGAGUGUUCGGGGCGGCGGCGACAGCAGGAAGGAGGUGAGAGAGGACGGCCUCGGCGCCGCCGCCCGGUGCGCACGUGCUCCCCGCUCCCUCCCGAAGGGGGC
rnacentral:lncRNA from 1 species